rnacentral:misc_RNA from 1 species
GAUGAAGAACGCAGUGAAAUGCGAUAAGUAAUGUGAAUUGCAGAAUUCAGUGAAUCAUCGAAUCUUUGAACGCACAUUGCGCCCGCUAGUAUUCUGGCGGGCAUGCCUGUUCGAGCGUCAUUUCAACCAUCAAGCCUCAGGCUUGUGUUGGAGCCCUGCGGCUGCCGCAGCCUCCCAAAAACAGUGGCGGGCUCGCUAUCACACCGAGUGCAGUAGUUUACUCUUCGCUCAGGGCGUGUGGCGGGUGCUAGCCGUGAAACCCCCAACUUCUCAAGGUUGACCUCGGAUCAGGUAGGAAUACCCGCUGAACUUAAGCAUAUCAAUAAGCGGAGGA